rnacentral:lncRNA from 1 species
UGAAGGAUGUUUGGGGAAAAGCAAGCUCAGCAGUAACAUUUUUAGGUUUCCAAGAUUGAUGACACAGCUGGCCCACUGGAGACCCGGGCAGUGGGAGGAUCCUCAUUAGUGUAAAUAAAUAGGAGUCUCUGGUCCUGAAAAGAGCCCAGAUGAGAUUCAGAUCCAGAUUCAGAUUGUGAAUCAAGCCUCACUCAUUCUCCUCUCCCUUGUCAAGCCAGAAUGAAAUCCACUGCUGCCUCUGUGGUUGUGGUUCUGCUCAUGGUCAUCAAUUAUUCUUCAGUCCAAGGUAUCCUGGAGACCAACGAUGCCAACCAGAAGUGCAAGUGUCUCAAGCUGGCAGAAGGAGUCCCUUUACGCUCGAUAAAAACCAUAUUUAUUUCACCACCUAACGUAGGCUGCCGAAAUACAGAAUGCAUAGUCACAUUGAAAACUGGGAGGAAAAUAUGUGUGGAUCCAAAGUGCAAAUGGUUAGACAAUGUCUUCAAAAAUGUAAUAAGAAACAAGCCUACCACACCAAAUAUGACUGUUGAGAGACAACACCAGAAUUCCAAAUAAGAUCAUCUGGGCUUGCCUUCCUUCCUGUUGGAAUCCUCAUUUUUUUUAUUAAUUGUUUUUGUUCUGAUGAAAUGCUUUUUUUAGGUACUUCCUUCCUAGAAACAUAUAGCCAAAAUGAUCUUUCUGCAGCAAUCCAGCAACACAUUAGCUUCUCUCUAAGGAUAUAUACCCAAGUGCUUGAUUUACAUAUCCUUGAUCAAUAUUAGUUAAUAAGAUUAUCAGAAAUAUUUAAAGGUUCUUUCAUAUAAAGGUCCCACCCAAUUUCAACCAAUGUUGGAAGUAAGACGACCACUCAAGAACCGCAAUUCUCACACUAAGGCUUUCCUCUAAAUGGAAGGGUAACUUGGACAUAAGGCACAUUGGAGCAGCUGGCAUGAGUUAGAAAGGGAAGCAAGGGAUCUUUUCUCCACCUGCAGAUUUCUGAAAUUACUGGGAGAGAAAGCCGCCCAGGAAAUUUGCAUAAUUUCAGUUGGAGUGUCUGAACAAAGUCACAUGCAAGUGAACCUUUUAGUCACACCUUAAGCAAAAAGAAUUGGGAUUUGGUGACCCCAAAGAUUCCCUCCAUCUUAAUAAAUUGAAGCAAAAGAAAGCCA